GGGCAUGAUGACAUCAGUACAAUAACAGGAAUUCCUCAUUCUGAAUUAUACUGUCGAUUUGUAAAUUUAGUUUCAGCCUUGUCUGACC
rfam:Blumeria graminis f. sp. tritici 96224 unplaced genomic scaffold Scaffold-10340, whole genome shotgun sequence.